UGGCAACUCUUCUUUCCACUUUUCAUCGAAUGUUUUCAAAUCACAGGAGUAAACAUUUACGUGACUGUGACUUCGUUUGUUUUUAUUUCGUUCGGAGAAAAAUUAUAUCAGGGAAAGUGGACAUUAAAAAUGCGUUGCUCAGUGAAAGGCUGCCCGAAUACGAGUGAAAAUGUUCGCGUUAGCUCUUAUAGCUUCGGAAACGUAUUUACAGACGCACUGGGUUGAUUUUUGCGGAGACGACAAACUAGUUCCGAAUAAGGAUUCGCGUAUCAGUGGAAUUAUUUUGAUAGCGUCUUAAUGCAGUGGACUGUGAAAACUGCUACUUAAUCCCGCUGCGAGAUACCAAAGCAGCCUUUAUGCGGAUUGCCCAACGUGAGAACCCAAAAUCCCCCCGUGGGCGCGAUGCAGACUGCCUUCAUUGCAGUGAUGCAGCGGGGAUUUUCCAUUCGCAUGGAAAUUCACAUCACUGUAGCAGAUUGAGGGACUCGUUUCAUCGGAGACAAAAUACAACACACACUUAAACUACUAUAACUAUGUACAUUGUAUUUUACUUAAUACUAUAGAAAUAUACAUGAAAUUAUACAAGCA